rfam:Lachnospiraceae bacterium 28-4 genomic scaffold acPFn-supercont1.1, whole genome shotgun sequence.
UCAUGUAUGAUCAGAAAUUUCACUUAUGAAAUGGCAGAUUUACAGGGGAAAGUCGCCAUGGAGGGCGACUUUAGAAAGCAUAGGGCACGAUGCCCGUUGCUUUCGACCCGUCCGGUAUCAUAAACCCUGCCCAUUUCAUUAGUGAAAUCUGAUCAAACAUUU